CCGAGAGAGGGCGCCUCGCGCGCCCGACCUCCCAACCCUCUGUCGACCGCACCGCGUUGCCUCGGGGUGUUAGGCCCGCGCUCGCCGCGGGCCUGCCCCCUGGGGCCUAACCAAUAACUCUGCAUCUUUGCGUCGGAGUAUGAAUGAUAAAAUCAAUCA
rnacentral:misc_RNA from 1 species